rfam:Pseudonocardia dioxanivorans CB1190, complete genome.
GGCUCAUCCAGAGGGGCAGAGGGAACGGCCCGUUGAAGCCCCGGCAACCGGCGUCGCACGACCAUCGCGCGUGACGAUCACGGUGCCAAUUCCGACCCGCACGUCGCGGGGAAGAUGAGGA